UUCCAGUAGGGAAGAAGCGAAAGUNNNGGUACCUGCAGAAGAAGCGCCGGCNNNCUACGUGCCAGCAGCCGCGGUAAUACGUAGGGCGCAAGCGUUAUCCGGAAUUAUUGGGCGUAAAGAGCUCGUAGGCGGNUUGUCGCGUCUAUCGUGAAAGUCCGAGGCUCAACCUCGGAUCUGCGGUGGGUACGGGCAGACUAGAGUGAUGUAGGGGAGACUGGAAUUCCUGGUGUAGCGGUGAAAUGCGCAGAUAUCAGGAGGAACACCGAUGGCGAAGGCAGGUCUCUGGGCAUUAACUGACGCUGAGGAGCGAAAGCAUGGGGAGCGAACAGGAUUAGAUACCCUGGUAGUCCAUGCCGUAAACGUUGGGCACUAGGUGUGGGGGACAUUCCACGUUUUCCGCGCCGUAGCUAACGCAUUAAGUGCCCCGCCUGGGGAGUACGGCCGCAAGGCUAAAACUCAAAGGAAUUGACGGGGGCCCGCACAAGCGGCGGAGCAUGCGGAUUAAUUCGAUGCAACGCGAAGAACCUUACCAAGGCUUGACAUGUGCCAGAUCGCCGUGGAAACACGGUUUCCCCUUUGGGGCUGGUUCACAGGUGGUGCAUGGUUGUCGUCAGCUCGUGUCGUGAGAUGUUGGGUUAAGUCCCGCAACGAGCGCAACCCUCGUUCCAUGUUGCCAGCGCGUAAAGGCGGGGACUCAUGGGAGACUGCCGGGGUCAACUCGGAGGAAGGUGGGGACGACGUCAAAUCAUCAUGCCCCUUAUGUCUUGGGCUUCACGCAUGCUACAAUGGCCGGUACAAUGGGUUGCGAUACUGUGAGGUGGAGCUAAUCCCAAAAAGCCGGUCUCAGUUCGGAUUGGGGUCUGCAACUCGACCCCANGAAGUCGGAGUCGCUANUAANCNCAGAUCAGCA
rnacentral:rRNA from 1 species